ACCUCGGUGGUGCAGUGGUAGCACGCGUCCACGGUAUGUAUGAAACACGGGUUCGACUCCCGUCUGAAAUU